AGGGGUAUAGCUUAAGUGGUAGAGUGCAUGCCUAGCAUGCACAAGGUCCUGGGUUCAAUCCCUAGUACUUCCU
rnacentral:tRNA from 1 species